rnacentral:rRNA from 1 species
UGGGGAAUUUUGGACAAUGGGCGCAAGCCUGAUCCAGCCAUGCCGCGUGCGGGAAGAAGGCCUUCGGGUUGUAAACCGCUUUUGUCAGGGAAGAAAUCUUCUGGGUUAAUACCUCGGGAGGAUGACGGUACCUGAAGAAUAAGCACCGGCUAACUACGUGCCAGCAGCCGCGGUAAUACGUAGGGUGCAAGCGUUAAUCGGAAUUACUGGGCGUAAAGCGUGCGCAGGCGGUUUUGUAAGACAGAGGUGAAAUCCCCGGGCUCAACCUGGGAACUGCCUUUGUGACUGCAAGGCUUGAGUGCGGCAGAGGGGGAUGGAAUUCCGCGUGUAGCAGUGAAAUGCGUAGAUAUGCGGAGGAACACCGAUGGCGAAGGCAAUCCCCUGGGCCUGCACUGACGCUCAUGCACGAAAGCGUGGGGAGCAAACAGGAUUAGAUACCCUGGUAGUCCACGCCCUAAACGAUGUCAACUGGUUGUUGGGAAGGUUCCUUCUCAGUAACGUAGCUAACGCGUGAAGUUGACCGCCUGGGGAGUACGGCCGCAAGGUUGAAACUUAAAUGAAUUGACGGGGUCAUAGCUGUUUCCU